CUGAGCUACUCUGGUGCCCCUCUUCCAAAGAAUUUAAGAGCAAGACCUUGAGACAUAAAGGAUCUGUAAUGGAUACCUGUCAGCUGUGCCUGUCAGCAUCCCCUCCCCCAUCCUCCGUUGACACAGUGCCUUAUCUCCUUUGGGCAAGGGAGAGCAAGCCCAUCUGCAGAGCAGAGAGAUGAAAAGAUAACAAGAAAAGGAGAAAGAGAGAGAGAGAGAGCGAUCUUCCUGCAUUGCUAAAUGCCUAUAAUCCUCUGAGGUUGAGUUCUCCUGGACUUCCCAAUGCAAGAAGCAAAUAAAUAAUAAGCCAAUCAAUAAUAAUCCCCUCCUUUCUGCCUUUCCUUCUUUUUUCUUUCAUCUGCGUUUACUUGUUUGUUUAUAGCUAGUUUGAUUCUGGUUUCAGUUUCUUGCAACCACAGAGUCUCAACUAAUGCAGGACCAAGUACGUUUUGACCAGGAAAUGUGUUUGUGACCCUUCAUUCAUAUAUUGGUGUAAGAAGGCAGUGGGUGGAGAAAAUCAGAUUAUGGCUGGACAGAGUGACUUUUUUCUAUCCUUCACAACUUUACUUGCUACCAUGAUUCCCAGGUUGAUUGCAACUCUCUGAGGCAUGAAGGAGGCAUCUGCCUUCAGGAAAUAUUGAAUUGCAACAGCAACAUGGAACACGGUUUCCUAUUGACUCCUGCCUUUGCCUGCAGCUGUUGAUGGCAUUCUCUAAUAGGCAGCUAACCGAUGGGAAUGAUCUGGUUUUUCCCUCUUUGCAACUCAAGGGCAUGGAGAACUCUGGUUUUAGGGGAACUAAACUGUGAAUUCUAACCCCGGCUCAAGCAGAUUUGACUUGUGUGAUCUUCCAAAGAUUCAUCAGAUCUAAAAUCUCAACAUGCUGUUAUUAAACUGGAUAUUAUAAGACAUUCUUGACAUCACAGCUGCCAUUUAUUAAACAUCAAAUGGU